AGAGCGAACGCUGGCGGCAGGCCUAACACAUGCAAGUCGAACGAUCCUUCGGGAUAGUGGCGGACGGGUGAGUAACACGUGGGAACGUGCCUUUUGGUUCGGAACAACUCAGGGAAACUUGAGCUAAUACCGAAUGUGCCCUUCGGGGGAAAGAUUUAUCGCCAUUAGAGCGGCCCGCGUCUGAUUAGCUAGUUGGUGAGGUAAAGGCUCACCAAGGCUACGAUCAGUAGCUGGUCUGAGAGGAUGAUCAGCCACAUUGGGACUGAGACACGGCCCAAACUCCUACGGGAGGCAGCAGUGGGGAAUCUUGCG
rnacentral:rRNA from 1 species